rnacentral:rRNA from 1 species
GUACACUCCUACGGGAGGCAGCAGUGGGGAAUAUUGGACAAUGGGCGCAAGCCUGAUCCAGCCAUGCCGCGUGAGUGAUGAAGGCCCUAGGGUUGUAAAGCUCUUUCACCGGUGAAGAUAAUGACGGUAACCGGAGAAGAAGCCCCGGCUAACUUCGUGCCAGCAGCCGCGGUAAUACGAAGGGGGCUAGCGUUGUUCGGAUUUACUGGGCGUAAAGCGCACGUAGGCGGACUAUUAAGUCAGGGGUGAAAUCCCGGGGCUCAACCCCGGAACUGCCUUUGAUACUGGUAGUCUUGAGUUCGAGAGAGGUGAGUGGAAUUCCGAGUGUAGAGGUGAAAUUCGUAGAUAUUCGGAGGAACACCAGUGGCGAAGGCGGCUCACUGGCUCGAUACUGACGCUGAGGUGCGAAAGCGUGGGGAGCAAACAGGAUUAGAAACCCUGGUAGUCCC